GUCAUAUACUGUACGGCUGCGUAAUUAAACUGUAAUCCCUAAUGGUCGGGGAUGGAGGACCGCUUAAGAAACAUUCUACGGCAACUAAAAUAAAUAUAUUACGCUAGACUCAUUCGCAGAUGACUCUCUUCGCUCUAAUCAGUUCAUUUUAUCGUUUUACUGUUUCACUAGUAGCUAAUCAGAGGGAUAUUAAAAUCUUAAAAUUUCACAUUGGCCGCCAUAUUGAAUUGGCACGCGCCAGAGUCUGGGACUAGAUUAUAUUUUUCAUGAGGUUUGAUGGG